CAGCCGCCGCGGUAAUACGAGGGGGGCAAGCGUUGUUCGGAAUUAUUGGGCGUAAAGGGCGCGUAGGCGGUUUGACAAGUUUGGUGUGAAAUCUAUGGGCUCAACCCAUAGCCUGCAUCGAAAACUGUCGGGCUUGAGUAUGGGAGAGGUGAGUGGAAUUUCCGGUGUAGCGGUGAAAUGCGUAGAUAUCGGAAGGAACACCUGUGGCGAAAGCGGCUCACUGGACCAUUACUGACGCUGAGGCGCGAAAGCUAGGGGAGCAAACAGGAUUAGAUACCCGGGUAGUCCCUGUCUCUUAUAC
rnacentral:rRNA from 1 species